AGAGUUUGAUCCUGGCUCAGGACGAACGCUGGCGGCGUGCUUAACACAUGCAAGUCGAACGAUGAUGCCCAGCUUGCUGGGCGGAUUAGUGGCGAACGGGUGAGUAAUACGUGAGUAACCUGCCCUUGACUCUGGGAUAAGCCUGGGAAACUGGGUCUAAUACUGGAUACUACCUCUUACCGCAUGGUGGGUGGUGGAAAGGGUUUUACUGGUUUUGGAUGGGCUCACGGCCUAUCAGCUUGUUGGUGGGGUAAUGGCUCACCAAGGCGACGACGGGUAGCCGGCCUGAGAGGGUGACCGGCCACACUGGGACUGAGACACGGCCCAGACUCCUACGGGAGGCAGCAGUGGGGAAUAUUGCACAAUGGGCGGAAGCCUGAUGCAGCGACGCCGCGUGAGGGAUGACGGCCUUCGGGUUGUAAACCUCUUUCAGUAGGGAAGAAGCGAGAGUGACGGUACCUGCAGAAGAAGCGCCGGCUAACUACGUGCCAGCAGCCGCGGUAAUACGUAGGGCGCAAGCGUUGUCCGGAAUAUUGGGCGUAAAGAGCUCGUAGGCGGUUUGUCGCGUCUGCUGUGAAAGCCCGGGGCUCAACCCCGGGUCUGCAGUGGGUACGGGCAGACUAGAGUGCAGUAGGGGAGACUGGAAUUCCUGGUGUAGCGGUGAAAUGCGCAGAUAUCAGGAGGAACACCGAUGGCGAAGGCAGGUCUCUGGGCUGUUACUGACGCUGAGGAGCGAAAGCAUGGGGAGCGAACAGGAUUAGAUACCCUGGUAGUCCAUGCCGUAAACGUUGGGCACUAGGUGUGGGGGACAUUCCACGUUUUCCGCGCCGUAGCUAACGCAUUAAGUGCCCCGCCUGGGGAGUACGGCCGCAAGGCUAAAACUCAAAGGAAUUGACGGGGGCCCGCACAAGCGGCGGAGCAUGCGGAUUAAUUCGAUGCAACGCGAAGAACCUUACCAAGGCUUGACAUUCACCGGACCGCCCCAGAGAUGGGGUUUCCCUUCGGGGCUGGUGGACAGGUGGUGCAUGGUUGUCGUCAGCUCGUGUCGUGAGAUGUUGGGUUAAGUCCCGCAACGAGCGCAACCCUCGUUCUAUGUUGCCAGCACGUGAUGGUGGGGACUCAUAGGAGACUGCCGGGGUCAACUCGGAGGAAGGUGGGGAUGACGUCAAAUCAUCAUGCCCCUUAUGUCUUGGGCUUCACGCAUGCUACAAUGGCCGGUACAAAGGGUUGCGAUACUGUGAGGUGGAGCUAAUCCCAAAAAGCCGGUCUCAGUUCGGAUUGAGGUCUGCAACUCGACCUCAUGAAGUCGGAGUCGCUAGUAAUCGCAGAUCAGCAACGCUGCGGUGAAUACGUUCCCGGGCCUUGUACACACCGCCCGUCAAGUCACGAAAGUUGGCAACACCCGAAGCCGGUGGCCUAACCCCUUGUGGGAGGGAGCCGUCGAAGGUGGGACUGGCGAUUGGGACUAAGUCGUAACAAGGUAACC
rnacentral:rRNA from 1 species